rnacentral:rRNA from 1 species
CCUACGGGAGGUAGCAGUGAGGAAUAUUGGUCAAUGGACGAGAGUCUGAACCAGCCAAGUAGCGUGAAGGAUGACUGCCCUAUGGGUUGUAAACUUCUUUUAUAUGGGAAUAAACUGUUCCACGUGUGGGAUUUUGUAUGUACCAUAUGAAUAAGGAUCGGCUAACUCCGUGCCAGCAGCCGCGGUAAUACGGAGGAUCCGAGCGUUAUCCGGAUUUAUUGGGUGUAAAGGGAGCGUAGGUGGAUUGUUAAGUCAGUUGUGAAAGUUUGCGGCUCAACCGUAAAAUUGCAGUUGAAACUGGCAGUCUUGAGUACAGUAGAGGUGGGCGGAAUUCGUGGUGUAGCGGUGAAAUGCUUAGAUAUCACGAAGAACUCCGAUUGCGAAGGCAGUUCACUGGACUGCAACUGACACUGAGGCUCGAAAGUGUGGGUAUCAAACAGGAUUAGAUACCCCAGUAGUC